UUGAACGCUGGCGGCAGGCCUAACACAUGCAAGUCGAGCGGCAGCGCGGGGCAACCUGGCGGCGAGCGGCGAACGGGUGAGUAACGCGUAGGAAUCUACCCAGUAGCGGGGGAUAGCCCGGGGAAACUCGGAUUAAUACCGCAUACGCCCUAAGGGGGAAAGCAGGGGAUCGAAAGACCUUGCACUAUUGGAAGAGCCUGCGUUGGAUUAGCUAGUUGGUAGGGUAAAGGCCUACCAAGGCGACGAUCCAUAACUGGUCUGAGAGGAUGAUCAGUCACACCGGAACUGAGACACGGUCCGGACUCCUACGGGAGGCAGCAGUGGGGAAUAUUGGACAAGGGGGGCAACCCUGAUCCAGCCAUGCCGCGUGUGUGAAGAAGGCCUUCGGGUUGUAAAGCACUUUAAGUGGGGAGAAAGGCUCCAAAGUUAAUACCUUUGUGGAUUGAUGCUACCCACAGAAUAAGCACCGGCUAACUCUGUGCCAGCCGCCGCGGUAA
rnacentral:rRNA from 1 species